rnacentral:lncRNA from 1 species
UUCCUCAAAAGGUUGUAAGAGUUAACAAAUGACUCAUCAAUUCUACUCUUAGGUAUGUGGCCAAAAGAAAUGAAAACAUGUCUAUGAUUUUCUUAACCUUUGCCUCAUGGCUGGUUUUUUUCAUGGUCACAAGAUGAUUGACUCAUUCCUUGAUAUCACUUCCAAAGUUCAGGACAGAAGAAGGUAAAAAUAAAUGGGGAAAAAACAUACUGAUCAGUUAGGUCUGUCAUUUUUUUAAAUCAAAACAAACAAAAAAAAAGUUUCUCCUAGAAAUGUGCUUGUCCAUUAGGUAGAAUGUUUGUCAUUUGGCCACUCUUGGAUGAAGGUGACUAUAGGAAAGAGGUCAUACAUAGGAUAUGGAUUAGGCCAACCAGCCAGCACUGUCUGCCACUAUAAUGUUAUUUAUUAGGUGCUUUAUUUAGCACUACCUAGCACACAUCACUUUCUCAUCUAAUCUUACAAAUUUGCAUGUAGUUAGGCUUUGGUGAAGACCAUCCAUGAGUUAGGGUCUAAAAGAUCAUCUAGUCCAACACUCCCUGUCUGAUUAUGGGGCAAGAUGUCAUUCAGACCCCUCUGGAACAGUUUCAUGAACCACUAUCUUCUCAACUAAUCCAUUCUUGCCAAAAAAUACUACAAUUAUCCUAAGUUCUUCUUCAUUCAAGUCAUAGCUACCUCCCCAUGGGUUCUUUUGUUUAAAUAAUUAGUUAUAAGUUCAUAUUAAUUAAGAAAGCAUCAUCUCAUUUAAAUCUUAGAACUACUAUAUAAAUUGAUUAAAUAGGCAAUAUAAAUCUCAUCUAACCAACUGGGAUUCUGAGACUCAGCUAAUUUAACAGACUUUAAUACAGACUCUCUAGUGAAAAAUGAUAAUCAUAAUCCAAUUCCUUUCUCAUAGGCGGCCCUUCAUGUAUUUAAAGAAGGGUUCUUAAGCUAGGGUCAUGAACAAUCAAUGAGUCAGCUUUGGGUGGACCAUGGAUGUGUUAAAAUUACAUUCAAUAUUGGAUAAAUGAUCCAUUUUUUGUAGAAAGGGUCCUUAGCUCUCAUCACAUUUUAAAAUAAUCUGACUCCCCAAAACCGCUGAUUCUAAAAUGAUUACGAAAUGCUUCUUCUUCCCUUGAGUUUUCAUGUCCCCAGAAGAAAUAUCUCCAGUUUCUCCAGUCAAGCCUCUUGCUUUCCCCUACUCUACCCCCAGACCUAUUCCACCUGCUCUCCCCAUCUUAUCAAAUGGCAGUCACCCGAGAGUCACGUUUGCCUCUUUACCAUCCCACACCCUCACCUCUCCAACACAUACUCUGUUCAUUUUUCUUGCCAAUCUACAUGAGCCCAUACACAUUUCUUCAUCCCAGCUGCCAUGAUCAUUUCCAGCUCGCGCUAAUGCAGUCUCCAAAUAGCACCCUUCCUCCUUCCACACUCACCCGUCUCUCAGCCAUUCUUCAUACAAGAGCCAAGAAUAGUCUUUAUGAAGUAUCAGAUCACGUGACUCCCUUGCUUGAAAGACUUAGUGGUUUCCUCUGACAUGCUGUAAAAGUUCCAGCCUCCUACCCAUGGCCCUGAAGACCAUGGGUGAUCUGACCCAAGCCUUCCUUCCUUUUUUUUUUUUUUGGAAGGAGGGGUGCUAUUUUAGGGCCACAAGCGAGGCAUAUGGAGGUUUCCAGGCUAGGGGUGGAGUUGGAUCUACAGCUGCCAGCCUAUGCCAUAGCCACAGCAAUGUGGGAUCUGAGCCUUGUCAGUGACCUACACCACAGCUCACAGCAACGCUGGAGCCUUAACCCACUGAGCAAGGCCAGGGAUCCAACCCACAUCCUCAUGGAUCCUAGUCAAGUUCCUUAACUGCUGAGCCACAAAGGAACUCCUAAGCCUUCCUUUCUGAUGCUACCUCACUCUUCUUGCUCCCCUCAUUCUCAACAUCAGAUAGAGAGCCAUCUGCUUUCUUUCAGUUCCUACCACAUAUCCUAUUUCUUCCCAUCUCAAGACUGUUUGUUCCCUUCCAGAGUGUUCUUUAUCCUGUUCCUCCCCAUCCUUCAGUCCUCAGUUUUAAUAUUCUCCACAGAGAUACUCUGGCCAUCUUCCUCAGUUAGGACCAAUUCACGCGUCCCUACUUACUACAGCUCCUUCCUGAGUUACUGAUUAGUUAGUAAGCUGGUUUAUGUGUGUGUGUUUAUUUAUUCCAUUUUCUCCUUCAGACCGUAAGCUCCAUGAGGGAAGGUUCUCUAUUUGUCUGUUACUGUUGUGCUUCCAGUGGCUGGUACAGUUCUUACUAUAUGAUGAAAACCAAAACUUCGGCAAAUGAAUGAAUACCCAUUUUCAUGUCCCCUCACUCCUGGGCAUAUUCCAAUGUGUAACAUACCUCUUAAAAUGGGUGGUCCCAAAACUAAACUCAAAUUUCAAGGUGAGGCCUAACCCUUUAAGAGAGGACUAGGCAUGCAGUGCUUCUGUAAUUCUUCCUUCCUUUCUAAUAUCGAAAUAGGAUACUUCACAAACAUCUGCAAGACCAUGUUCCAGUAAGAUCCAUGUCUCUGCCAUUGGUAAAUAUCGUCAUUCAUAUACUUAGUAUGUCACAAGUUAAAGAGAGAUUUUGAGUAUGGAUUCAAAAAGCAUCAGUCCAGAAUGCAGCAAGCCCAUCUCCCAGUUCAGAGUUCUUUGUAAUGUCUCACUAAAAUCAGGGUGACGAUGCCCUCAAUUUGAAAUUUGUUUCCCAAGGAGUUCCCCUCGUGGCUCAGUGGUUAACAAAUACGACUAGGAACCAUGAGGUUGCGGGGUUCAAUCCCUGGCCUUGCUCAGUGGGUUAAGGAUCCGGCAUUGCCGCGAGCUGUGGUGUAGAUUGCAGACGCAGCUUGGAUCCCACGUUGCUGUGGCUCUGGCGUAGGCUGGUGGCUACAGCUCCAAUUCGACCCCUAGCCGGGGAACCUCCAUAUGCCGAGGGGGCAGCCCAAGAAAUGGCAAAAAAAAAGACAAAAAUAAAAUAAAAUAAAAAUAAAUAAAAUUUGUUCCCCAAAUAAAACAUAUUUCAAACUUGGAAUAUGCACAAUAAACAUUUCUAUUUCUAAUGCCCCAUCUCCAAGACACCUGACAGUCCAUCAGUUUGUUUCCCCUUCACUCUUCCUGCUACAAAGCACAAAAACACCAGGAGCCCCAAGUAUCCGGGGGGUUUUCCAGACACAACAGAUUCAGCUUGUUUGCUGAGUACAGGAUUAAGUUCAAAACAUUUUUCUACAAUUCGGAUAUACAAACAAGCUAGAGCUGGAUGAGGCUGCUGAAAAAAAAAAAUCAACUUGUCAUCUCUGGUUUGUGGAAGAAGCAACACACAAAAUCAAACCAACCUGUUAAAAUUAUUACCGUCUCCCUCCUCACCAACAAAGAUGCAGCGGAGAGCAAAGAGCAUUAAUCGCUUGAAAAUAUCUAAUCAGAGUAGAGGCCUUUUAUAUUACCAUUCAAAUUCUUAACUGCCCUCAGCCUGAUUUAUUUUAAGCCAAGGCCCACAGGCCUUACACAUUUCAUGGUUAUUUUCUCUAGUUUUGUAGCCUUUAUUUUCUUCCUCGUGUCUCAUUUUUGUCCCCCUCCCCCAUUCCAUUCUUUCCCUCCAAAUGAACAGAACCUGGUUCCUAUCACCUAGAGAUGAAUUAACCUUUCCAAAUACCCUGACAUCGCCUUCCUAGAAAAGUUCCCUGGAGCUCUGUGGCCAUCGGAGAAGAGAGGCAGCUUGGCUUUGACUUUAAUAUACAUUUUGAAAUACCUUUUGCAGGAUGGCUGGAAAUAAGGAACUAAUAACAAAGUGCUCCUAAAAUUACCAGUAAAUCUGAAGCAUUCCGCCUGGUGCACAGCCUUUGAGAGUUUUUAAUUCAUCAAUUAAGUGAUCAAAGAUCUUGCUCAAGAUACGAUUACACUUCUUUUGUUCUCUUUGUGAAAUCUUAUUAAAAUUGAUAGCAUUCCUAGCAUCAAAAGAGUUCCGAAGCCAAAAAUAAAAACGGACAAAAUGACACCCGAACAUUCAUCACUUUCUAAAGGCUAUGAUUGGUCCUCAGCUAUCCUGGGAUACAAAUGCUAGGACAAACCAUUCCACAGUGGUGAUGUCAAAGCAAGAACCUGAAGCUUCCACAGUCCUAGAGCCGCUACUGUGCAUUGAGGCUGUAGCCAGGCCCUCCUGGCUAAGGGGGCAGACGGAGACCUUCUGGCUACUUGCCAAAGCCAAACCCAGGAGUAAAUAAAUUUCCAUAAUAGAGAAUGGAGGUCUUUCAGUGGCCGCUGAUGACCUCUGCAGCGUACACAGGAUUCUUCUUCCUUAUACCACUCAAAACAAAACAAAGCCACAGCCCAAGAAUCAGAAGGAAAUGUUUCUUAAAUUGCCACAAUCCUUCUUAAUCCUUGUUCCCCAGCAGUCAGUUAUUUUGAUAGUAUUUUGUCUGAAUACUUUGGGUUGUCUGCAAGAGGGGCUAACAAACCAUUUCUGUAAAACAGUCAGACAAUAUUUUAGGCUCCGUGGGCUCCUCAGUCUCUUAGGCAACUCCUCAACUCCACCAUUGUCCCGUGAAGGCAGCCAUAGAGGACGUGUCAGUGCCUGGGCGUGGCUGUGAUCCAAUAAAUCUUUAUUUACAAAAACAGGCAUUGGGCCAGAUUUGCCUGUGGACCAGUCUGCCCACCCUCGCUCUAAAACAUGGUCCAGACCACAGCCCACACUUGGGGACCUUAACCCACAUCACAAGAGUGCUGGGCAAUUUGUAGGAGAGUUCUUAUUAUGGCCUCAGGACAGAAAAAGAGAAUUGGUCUGAUAGGGGAAAAAAUGGUUAUUGAGCCACAAGAACAACUUUCAUAUGGUUUUCUCUUCAAAAAGUUCGUUUUACUCUCCAAAUUAAAUUUUUUCAGAAACAUUCAUUGUUUCUUUUAAAGAACAUUAGAUUUCACAUUACAUCUCCGUUAUUUAUUACCUGAGUUUUGGUCUUAACAAAUAUGAUUUUGUUAUUCUCUGUCAUCAAUGGAGAAAGCACAUGUGGUUUUGAUUGACAAAAUUGUGAUAAAAUUCACUGCAUCCUUAAAAAAAAAAAAAGUGAUUGAAAAGUUUUCAGACUGUAGCAGAGAACAUAGGGGGGAACACGAGAGGAUUGAAUUUCAACAAAAGACAUGCCAGAUUUUUUUUUUCGGGCUCUUAGUCUUCAACAUUCUCCCACUACUCAGUAUCUAAUUAGAUACCGGAGCAAUCCAGGAAUCAUGUGUUUCUCUUUAAAAUGUUGGCAAAGUUCAUCUCACGAUGGUUAUUGCUGGGUACACUUAGGUUCCCCACCAGGGACCGGUACUGCGUGACAUCACAUGCUGUGUCACAAACAAUGGAACGGAAAGAAGCGUGCACGCUCUGAGACAAGCAAAACGCUCCGUCAUCUUGGUUUUUCUCUCUUUUCAUUUAAUUCAAACUCACAUUCAUUGGGUUGUUUGAAAACCCUCUUUGUCUGUCAACUUCUUCCAGAAACAGGUACCCUUUGCUAUCAUUGCCCCAAGAAAAAUCAAUUUUAAAAAAAUCUCACGGGCCACAUAAUGUCUGUAUUGUGAAGCUCUGUUGGAACAGCUUUCUUGAUUAACUUAAGACCGAAUAUAACAUGGGAUAUUCACUGUGAACGCCAUGGCAAGUCACCCCAUAACCUAUUUGCCCUUAAAAAUAGGUUGCCUACUGGGCAAGAAAAAAAGAGAAUGGACAUAAUGCAAACGACGUGACCUUCAAAGCUGUAUGGCGUGUGGUUGUCUCCCUCAAGAAUUGCUAUGUGUGUCAGAGACCCACCAUGCCAUCUUCAUGCUACAUCCCUCCUGAUGCAGAACUGAAGCAAAAGGAACCCAUCAGCUACUAGAAACAUGUUGAGGAUGCCAAAAAAUACACAGACACACAUCUUCUUAACUUGGAAAAAUGUGUUGUUUGUGAGUGGAGAAUAAAUAUCUUGAAACUCUACUCUCUUCCACAUGUCUGCGUUCCUUCCACUGGGCUACAUUCCAAAGAGGUCAUAGUAGUUCCAUGUUUUUCUCUAAAAUAUGAAAAACUGUUGCGGAACCGACUUAGUAAAUGGUUUUCUUCACAAUGACUAAUGUACAAAUGUUCCACAUAAUUGCCUUCAAGUGAAUUUAACAAUAUUCAUGGAGUUCCCUGGUGUCUCAGCGAAUUAAGGAUCCAGCAUUGUCACCGCUGCAGUGUGGGUUCAAUCCCUGAGCUAGGAACUUCUACUUGCCACAGGCACGACUCCCCCC